GGGAAACUGUCGCUAAUACCGCGUAAUGUCUAAGGACUAGAGGGUGGGACUUUCGGGCCACCUGCCAUAAGAUGAGCCCAAGUGGGAUUAGGUAGUUGGUGGGGUAAAGGCCUACCAAGCCGACGAUCUCUAGCUGGUCUGAGAGGAUGACCAGCCACACUGGAACUGAGACACGGUCCAGACUCCUACGGGAGGCAGCAGUGGGGAAUAUUGCACAAUGGGGGGAACCCUGAUGCAGCCAUGCCGCGUGAAUGAAGAAGGCCUUCGGGUUGUAAAGUUCUUUCGGUGAUGAGGAAGGGUGAUGUUUUAAUAGAGCAUUACAUUGACGUUAGUCACAGAAGAAGCACCGGCUAACUCCGUGCCAGCAGCCGCGGUAAUACGGAGGGUGCGAGCGUUAAUCGGAAUGACUGGGCGUAAAGGGCACGCAGGCGGUGACUUAAGUGAGAUGUGAAAGCCCCGAGCUUAACUUGGGAAUUGCAUUUCAUACUGGGUUGCUAGAGUAUUUUAGGGAGGGGUAGAAUUCCACGUGUAGCGGUGAAAUGCGUAGAGAUGUGGAGGAAUACCGAAGGCGAAGGCAGCCCCUUGGGAAAAUACUGACGCUCAUGUGCGAAAGCGUGGGGAGCAAACAGGAUUAGAUACCCUGGUAGUCCACGCUGUAAACGCUGUCGAUUUGGGGAUUGGGCUUUAUGUUUGGUGCCCGUAGCUAACGUGAUAAAUCGACCGCCUGGGGAGUACGGCCGCAAGGUUAAAACUCAAAUGAAUUGACGGGGGCCCGCACAAGCGGUGGAGCAUGUGGUUUAAUUCGAUGCAACGCGAAGAACCUUACCUACUCUUGACAUCCUAAGAAG
rnacentral:rRNA from 1 species